rnacentral:siRNA from 1 species
AUGGUAAAACGAUUCAAACCUA